UCAGCUUGGGAGGGUAUGUUUUUUUUUUCCAUUUUCUUUUCUUUUGUUUUGUCUUCUCGUCUUCUCCGUCGAAGUCAGAGACGAAGAUCGAAACCGACGAAACCCACCGAUCAUUUGUCUUCUCUGGUUUGCGAUCCUCCGUCUCUUCUUGUUUCGGAUCCUCCGUCUCCGUGAGAAGAAGAAUCGAAACCCACCAAGGACGACGACUCGCGCUCUUGCUCCUCUGAUUGCAGUUGUUCCCAAUAGCCUGCGCACACACACACACACACACACUAAUCAGCCACUCAAUGACAAAAUGAGCAAUAACCAGGUUGAGAGAGAGGACCUGGUCAGAUACGCAAUAGCUUUGUCGCUGAACGAAGUACAACCGCCAAGGUUGAGUUUAGUGAGGUUAGGGCAACCAUGAGCAAGUGCAUAGAGGGAACGAUCAGUUAGUCUCAAGCUUUUGCUGAGAUCAAUCUCUUGUAGCUCAUGGCAGUGAUUUGCUAUGGCUUCCACUGCAUUGUCCUCUAGUUGUGGGUUUUGGGCGAUGCAAACAGGCUUACAAAUCCAUUUCUUCGACAAGCAAACACAAGAUGAGAGUGUCGUUUGAAGUAAUUGUACGAAACUUGAAAUCAUUUUUGUCAUUGAAUGCUUGUGAUCAAUGCUGUUAUGAAUGCUUGUUAGAGUUAGUAUAUGGUUAGUGAAUGCUUGUUGUGAUGAAUGGUUCUUAAAAGAAAAAAAAUUAAGAAACCCUAUUUAAGAAACUACCAAUGGAGC